UGGAAAUGACAUGCCAUCCCUUCUGC
rnacentral:piRNA from 1 species